CUCUUAUCUAUUAGCCUAAGCGUCUUCGCUAACUCGCUCGCCUAUUAUACUACACCCUACUAUACAAUACAUUAGUAGGGUAGGCUAGGCUAACGCUUACUUCUACUAAUGUAUUGUAUAGUAGCGCCUUUUCCUUUUUGAAUAACCCCAUUAUCUUUCAUAAGUCAAGUAGGCGCUCCCUAACCGGUCGCCUUAGUAGCGUUGACAAAGAAGAACAGCCGGUUAAAAGACAGCGAAUCUUUUUAUUUAUAUCCUUAUAUAUUCAAAAUAAUAAUAAAUAUAUAUAUAUAGAAGAAGGCCAGCUUGACAAGCUACCCUUCUUCUUGAUCUGAGGUGCGAAGAUAAACAUCUCUUUUUUAUGACUUCCACUUAUCGAUCCCGGCCCGGAAAAGUGACCGACCAGGGCCCUAUUGAUGAAUGAAAGAAAGGGUUUAUAAGCCCUAGCCCUUGUAAGCCCACACCUGUGUAGAGUAGAUCGUUCAACACCUGCGGCACAAACCCAUUUUUGACCUAUUGGUCCUAGUAUCAUAGGCGACCGAACGGCCGCCCCCUAAUUACUAGACCAACCUGCUAUAAUAAUUCCAUAAACACCUAGCGAAGAUAUGGCAAACAAAUAAAGUAGCCCUAUGUUCAAAUCUGACAAUACCAUACCAUAAUCAAAAGGUACAACGGCCCAAGCGACCAGACUUAACAUAAAUGUAGCCACUGGAGCCAUUCUAAAAAGGAAGAAAUUAGCACUACUUGGUGAAAUAGGUUCUUUUAGAAUCAAUUUCAAACCAUCUGCUAGAGGUUGUAACAAUCCGAACAAUCCCACUACAUCAGGACCCUUUCGACGUUGCACAAAAGCCAUUACUUUACGUUCAGCUAGCACUAAAAAGGCUACUCCUAGUAGAAGUGGUAAAAUUAUUCCAAGUAUUUCAGCUGGAACAGCUAUGUACAUUUUCGAUUUUCUAUUCACUCAUGAUCUGGCCUGGUCGAGUCGACCCAAUCAUGAUAUUGAAGGAUGGGACCUUUUCUCGAAAAACCCUGGAUCCCGGGAAGAGUUGAAGAUGGUGCAACAUCGAAUCCUGUUACGUUACUUCGAAUGGAAUCU
rnacentral:misc_RNA from 1 species